ACUCAAGUCCCCACUCAAGCCUGCCUUUUGAAUAGUAGACAGUUGACUGUGCUCUCAUGUUUAACCCUUUCGGUAAGGUCUAUUCUGUUAGCUGGGAGACAUGUGAAAGUUAGCCUUUAACUCAGUGACGUCAUGGUAUUUUGCUCUCGUGUAAGCUACUGUGUAUGUGUUUUUCAGGAACUUUCUUCAGCUUGUUUGCCUCUCUGUUAUGUGAGUGACCACAAGCAAAUUUGAAUCCUCUCUUCCCUUUCGGCUUGAUGCUCACUUGUGUGGCCUAGAGGGUAUUUGUGGAAUAAGUUUGGUAGGGCACCAAAGUGUGGGGUCACUGGGCUCUUCUUGGCAGAACAACAGAGUGGGCACAGAUUCUGAAGCCCCAGCCAGGGUCUGUGGAACAGAGCAUUCAAAAUCUGCAAAGUCCAAGACACAUGAUUAAUUAACACUGGUCUCUUGGGUCAGGCCUAUCUGGGCCUCAAUUCCCUGAGGUAGAGAAAUAGAAAUCUGAGUAUCACCCAUCGGAAUUAUCAUAAGGAUUAAGCAGUGUGAUGUGCGUGUGUGGUGAGUACCGCUCAGUAAGUGUUACUUUCUUUUCUCCUUCUGGUCCUAGUGGAAUGUGCUUUCCGUGGCACUGUUGAUAUCGGUUCUAGAAAAUGAAACCCUUAAAGAAGCUCAGAUGCUUUUGUGCAGGAAGCACCAUUGCUGCAUUUACCAUGAGAGAUGGACGCUCUGCCAUCUCGGCUCUUCCUCCGGCAGCUGCUCACAGACCUGUUCGGGUUGGGGAGACUUUUCCUGGCCUUCCUCAAAACCAUCAUUUGUGCAGCAUCCCCAGGGCUACGAACAGCAAGGAAAUGAGGGAAAGCAAGCAACAUCUGGUGUUAAACAAAUACCAUCCUCUUACAAAUGACUCAUCUCUGGGAUAAUGAUUCUUGCGUAUGUAUAGCUGAGGGAUGUCAACCCCAGGACCCGAUACUAGAGAAUAAACACCUGAAAGGCAGUCCUAGGACUUCCUGACAGCUCUACUGUGUCUCCAGCUGAAUUCCAUUUUGGAAAACAGAGAAGGUGCUCAUGUUCGUAGCUUUCAGUCACACCAGACAGAAAGCUCACCUCCUGUUCUCUGUUCUGAAGAGCAGAAUCCUGCAAACAUACAGCAUGAUAGUAGGUCAGUGUUUGGGGUGGUGCCCGGAGGAGGGUGAGCUUGUGAGCAUCUCCUGUCUUUCUCCCUCGCCCAAGGCCAAGACCAUGUCUGUUUGUGCUGCUGUUGGUGCAUUUGGGAGUCCCUGAGACGAUCUCAAGCAUCAUCCAGAGAGUUAUACAUGUUCUCCAAUGUCCGAAUUCCAAACGUGAUGACCUGCUCUACUGGCAAGACCUCUGAGAGAAAUAGAAUAACAAGCCACGGUCCUGGUGCUGCAUGAUAUGGACGGACAACGCCAGAAGGCCGGGGGCCAAGUAUGACGGAUUAGCCGGGUUCCUUGGGAAACCUAGUCUGAUGAUCACAGAACCUGGAGAAAGGCGA